rnacentral:lncRNA from 1 species
AGGUAUUAGGGUUGUUUAAUCAAGGAAGGAAAUGCAUCAACUGUUUGAUCACACAACUCCUAUAACCUAAUGCAUCAUUCAAGGUGAUAAAUUUUUGUAAACAUCAAGGAAAGAGGUGAAUGCACCGGGGCUUGCCUAGGAUAAACACUACGUUAGUGUUGUUAGAGACAUCUGGUUGGCGAACAUCGAAAAUCCUGGUACGGUCAAUCCAUUCAUCUUCUGUCGACAUAGUCACUGAGAUAUCGUCGGUCCAUGCCCUUCAUCUCGCACGAUCAUUAGCGUACCUACAUGAUAUGCGAGAUGCACAUGAAUGGAUAGGAGCAUAGAUAGCACAUCAACUAAAUCAAGAACCACACCACUUGUUCUAAUAAAUAGGGCCUUGUCAAACAACAUAAGAGUUUUCCCAAGAUCAUAAUUUAAACCCUACAGAUUUAAAAUACUAAGGUGGAAUGUCUACUAUGUAAUUUCCAUAUUCCUUUGAAGGGGACUUAAGGGUAAUACAUGCUUUCAACUAAUUGAGUAACGAUGAAUAUUUAUUCAAGACGAUUAGGUUAAGCAGUCAAGCUCCAUUUAUGACUUUUAAUCAAUCAACAAAUAUAACACCCGACAAUUACUAAGGCAAGACAAUAAUGAAAUGAUAAAAUCAGUACAAAUAACUCUAGGCGAAUAUGUUUAGCUAACUGAUUGAAUUACCAAACUUAUUCUAUAUAUUCACUAAAACACUUGUAGCAUAAUAAGCACGUCAAACUUAAAACCACAAGAACUAACCAAUCCUAGUGACCUACACAAAAGAAUUUCCAAACAAACAUUUUAAUACUUGCUGAUUUUGGACAUCAAGACAACAACUAUUUGUUUAGCUCAUAACUCACAAGAUAUUCAUCCUAAAAUAGUAAACUAGGACUUUCUGGAAAGCUUAUGAAGUUCUCUACAACUUUGGUAUUACCAUCAGAACAAGAUUCAACAUUUAGAAAUGUCAAAUAGUGCUAAACGUAAAUUCUGUCUAGAUUUGGACAGAAUUCGACUACUCACUUCAAAAAUUCAUAACUGGAGUCUCGAGAAUCUAAUUCAGGUGAUCCUAGACUUUUUCGAAAGCUAAUAGAAUUGUAUACAAUUCAUUUAUAAAUAUCUCAGGUUAAUUCAAUACAUAUCAAGGUCAAAAGACAUGAGAAAAGCUCUGCUGUCCAAAUUUAAACAGAUUCAGAGUUCACACUUCAAACAACUGUAACUUAACUUAUAGAUCAUCAAAAAGGGUGAUCCAAGACUUUUUAGAAAGAUUAAAAACAGUACUACAAUUCUUCUAUAAUUACUAAGGGUUGAUUCUCAGUUUAAUUUAGUCAAACAAGGCAAUUUUCGAAAUCAGUACAAAAUUUGGACAGAUUCAGGUACUGGACUUUGAAAAAUCAUAACUCUUAAACUACUAAACCUAUGGUCAUAAAAUGUUUACACAAAUAAGAUAAAGAAGUUGGCUACAACUUCUGUAUAUAACAUUUCUACAGAAAAUAUGGUUUACUUCAUGGAACUAGCUGCAUAACUAAAACUGUACAUGCAGCCCUAAACAGUAAUACAUUCAAUUUAACUCCUAUUUGGCUUCUAGAAUUAUCAUGUUCUUGACGCUUACUAACGCAAGGAAUUAAUGUUACUACACAAUUGAAAUUCAGAUAAAUAACACUAAUAGUUCUUAUCGGCUAGACAAUUUAAAAUGCUAAUCCUACUUCUCGCAUUAUUAAUUAAAUCUCACCUAGCACACAAGUCUAACAACACAUGACGCGACUACUGCAUAUUCAUGAAAACAAUCACAACACCAUAUGAGAGGAAACAUUUCUGCAACACAUUAUGAGCAACAUAUAACCCAAAGGAAAAGAGAAAGAUAUCCUUCCCUGAGCAUUGCCACAGUAUAACUAACCAAUCCAACUAAUAGUAAAAACAAAUCAGCUCACCAUAAUCGAAUCGACUCGAUAUAUGCAAGAACGGCGACAGUUCCUUGGUUCUAUUUCGUCGAACACCUAGAGCGCACCGAACUGAAACAUAUUUCCUUCAUCGAUUCAGUCACUUCAUCGAACAUAAGGGAUGCAAGCUAGCAGAGACAGCGGGGGGCUCACCGGCAUGGACGACGUCGUGGC